AAAGAGUACGUAGGCGGUUAUUCAAGUCAGAGGUGAAAGCCCGGGGCUCAACCCCGGAACUGCCUUUGAAACUAGAUAACUAGAGUCUUGGAGAGGUUAGUGGAAUUCCGAGUGUAGAGGUGAAAUUCGUAGAUAUUCGGAAGAACACCAGUGGCGAAGGCGACUAACUGGACAAGUACUGACGCUGAGGUACGAAAGCGUGGGGAGCAAACAGGAUUAGAUACCCGAGU
rnacentral:rRNA from 1 species